CUCACCUGCCUCUAACUUUCUAGUGAUCCUGCAGACCUUGAUGAGCUUGUUCAGGUGUGCUUGAUUAGAGCUGGAGCUAAACCCUGCAGGAAAAUGGACCUCGAGGGCCAGAGUUGAGAAACCCCUGCACUAUAUCAUCAACAAUGCAUCAGUAGAUGGCACUGUAACCAAAGAGCAAGUGGAUGAUUUGAUGGACGCUGAUGUGGAGGCGAGCACUGAAAUAGAUGAAAUCCUCCAGCAGAUCGUGGAAUUGGAUAAAUGGAGAGAGAUAUUUAACUCCCGCGGGUUGGAAUUACCACAGGACUAUCUUAAAAGACCUAAUGAGAAGAUCAAAUCUGAAG
rnacentral:lncRNA from 1 species